UAUCAGUUGUGCCACGACAAGGUGUUGUCAACACUAGCAGACAUCUUGGAGCAGGAAAGUCAGAAAAAAACAAAAGACGGCUUCACACUGCAGGGGUUUCUACUCUGGGGAAGGUGGUGGAGCUAGAAGGGCCUCGGUUGGACGACCCUGUUGGACUAGCUGAUCAGCUUGGAUUAAGGUCUACUCGUGUCACAAAUUUCUUCCCAGAUGGACUUCCUGUGUUGCCCUGGAGACCAUUCAUCACCGUGACAACCAUGUACGCCACCUGCAGUUAUUGCUUGAGUCUAUUAUUAUAACAAGAAAUGCUGUUCGACGUACAUCACCCUGUAAAAUGCAUACAAGUUGUGUGUGUGCAUACCGUACCUGCGUCUCCCAGCGAACUGUAUAUGGAUAUACAGUACACAGCUGUACAUCCUCUUGCUCGCUCACAAGUCUUUCUCAGGCAUUCACUCAAUGGUGCCAAGUAUUGCACUUUAUAUCACUUUAACCUACUUUACUGCUUGUUAAACAGAGGACAGAGCAGUAAUGAAAAAGAACUACCCUGACUGAAAAUGCCACAGUUGUUACUGCUGGCUGGCUUGUACUGAGCAUUCACAAAAAUGGUAACACACAGCACAAUUACAGCUUUAUAAAGGCUGAGAAAGGGGCAGUGGUGUUGGCCAUGGUGGCAGAAAAAUGCAGGUGUAUGUACAGUAUAUCCAUUCACAUAGGGGGUCAAAGGAUAAACAUACGAAUAACACAUAGACACUCAAGUACAAAUAUUGACACAGACACACACUUGCACACACACACACACACACACACACAUACACACACACAAACACACACACACACACAUACAGCCCAGUUGUUCUACUCAUUAAAAGCUGUUUCCAUGGCAUUUAGAGCUGAGACUUCAGUCAUGUUAAUGAAAAAUCAGGCAAUUAGACCAACAAGUUGUUGCAAACUAUCUAGUAAUCGCUCUACAGAAAACAGACCUUUAAUACCAAAUUAACCACUAUAUAGUGGCAGCUAUAAUAUCUUUUGAUGCUUUUAUUCAUAAAAUAAUGAUAACAGAUAAGCAAAAAAGGUGCACUUACAGGCUUGCCCAAUGGGACAUUUAUU